rnacentral:rRNA from 1 species
UAAUACGAAGGGACCUAGCGUAGUUCGGAAUUACUGGGCUUAAAGAGCUCGUAGGUGGUUAAAAAAGUUGAUGGUGAAAUCCCAAGGCUCAACCUUGGAACUGCCAUCAAAACUUUUUAGCUAGAGUGUGAUAGAGGUAAGUGGAAUUUCUAGUGUAGAGGUGAAAUUCGUAGAUAUUAGAAAGAAUACCAAUUGCGAAGGCAGCUUUCUGGAUCAUUACUGACACUGAGGAACGAAAGCAUGGGUAGCGAAGAGGAUUAGAUACCCUCGUAGUCCAUGCCGUAAACGAUGUGUGUUAGACGUUGGAAAUUUAUUUUCAGUGUCGCAGCGAAAGCGAUAAACACACCGCCUGGGGAGUACGACCGCAAGGUUAAAACUCAAAUGAAUUGACGGGGACCCGCACAAGUAGUGGAGCAUGUGGUUUAAUUCGAAGAUACGCGCAGAACCUUACCAACACUUGACAUGUUCGUCGCGACUUUAAGAGAUUAAAGUUUUCGGUUCGGCCGGACGAAACACAGGUGCUGCAUGGCUGUCGUCAGCUCGUGUCGUGAGAUGUUGGGUUAAGUCCCGCAACGAGCGCAACCCUCACUUUUAGUUGCCAUCAUUAAGUUGGGCACUCUGAAAGAACUGCCAGUGAUAAGCUGGAGGAAGGUGGGGAUGACGUCAAGUCCUCAUGGCCCUUACGUGUUGAGCUACACACGUGCUACAAUGGUAUCUACAACAGGAAGCAAGACUGCGAAGUUAAGCAAAUCCUUAAAAGAUACCUCAGUUCGGAUUGCACUCUGCAACUCGAGUGCAUGAAGCUGGAAUUACUAGUAAUCGUGGAUCAGCGUGCCACGGUGAAUGCGUUCCCGGGUCUUGUACACACCGCCCGUCACACCAUGGGAGUUGGUUCUACCUUAAGGCAAGGUUUCAAACCCUUGACCACGGUAUAGUCAGCGACUGGGGUGAAGUCGUAACAAGGUAGCCG